rnacentral:rRNA from 1 species
UACGUAGGGGGCAAGCGUUGUCCGGACUUACUGGGCGUAAAGGGCGCGUAGGCGGCGCACCAAGUCAGGCGUGAAAGCCCUGGGCUCAACCCGGGAAUUGCGCUUGAGACUGGUGUGCUUGAGUACGGGAGAGGAUAGUGGAAUUCCCAGUGUAGAGGUGAAAUUCGUAGAUAUUGGGAAGAACACCGGUGGCGAAGGCGGCUAUCUGGACCGUAACUGACGCUGAGGCGCGAAAGCGUGGGGAGCAAACAGG